GACGAACGCUGGCGGCGUGCUUAACACAUGCAAGUCGAACGGGGAAUAUUUUAGCUUGCUAUGGUAUUUCUAGUGGCGAACGGGUGAGUAACGCGUAGGCAACCUGCCCUUGGGAUGGGGACAACAGGCCGAAAGGCCUGCUAAUACCGAAUGAAGUGGGGGAACCGCAUGGGAUUCCCAUGAAAGAUGGCCUCUAUAUAUAAGCUAUCACCCAAGGAUGGGCCUGCGUCUGAUUAGCUAGUUGGUGGGGUAAAGGCCUACCAAGGCGACGAUCAGUAGCCGGUCUGAGAGGAUGAACGGCCACAUUGGGACUGAGACACGGCCCAGACUCC
rnacentral:rRNA from 1 species